rnacentral:rRNA from 1 species
UACGUAGGGUGCGAGCGUUGUCCGGAAUUAUUGGGCGUAAAGGGCUCGUAGGCGGUUUGUCGCGUCGGGAGUGAAAACUCAGGGCUUAACCCUGAGCCUGCUUCCGAUACGGGCAGACUAGAGGUAUGCAGGGGAGAAUGGAAUUCCUGGUGUAGCGGUGGAAUGCGUAGAGAUCCGGAAGAACACCGGUGGCGAAGGCGGCCUGCUGGGCAGUUGCUGACACUGAGGCGCGACAGCGUGGGGAGCAAACAGG